GUAGUCUCGCACAGAUGCAUAUCAAUAAGCGGAGGAAAAGAAACUAACAAGGAUUCCCCUAGUAACGGCGAGUGAAGCGGGAAGAGCUCAAAUUUGAAAUCUUAAAGGGUUUCCCUUUACGAAUUGUAGUUUAAAGAAGUGUUUUCUGUUGAGGUUUUGGUAAAAGUUCCUUUGGAAUAGGACAUCAUAGAGGGUGAGAAUCCCGUAUUUGACCUUUACUUUCAACUUUGUGAUACACUUUCAAAGAGUCGGAUUGUUUGGGAAUGCAGUCCAAAAUGGGUGGUAAAUUUCAUCUAAAGCUAAAUAUUGGCGAGAGACCGAUAGCGAACAAGUACCGUGAGGGAAAGAUGAAAAGAACUUUGAAAAGAGAGUUAAACAGUACGUGAAAUUGUCAAAAGGGAAGCGUUUGACACCAGUGUUGUUUUUUCUGAAAAUCAAUUAAAGAACUGUUUAUGCUAAGCUGUUUAGACUUUAUCAGCUAACUGUUUAGUUUUGAGCUUUUCUUUAAUGCACUUUUCAGUUAACAAGUCAACAUCAAUUUCUUUUGCUGUAAAAAAGCUUGAGGAAGGUGGCUUGAGAUUCGUCUUAAGUGUUUAUAGCCUCUUGCCUAUGCAGUCGGAGAGAUUGAGGUCUGCAGCGUAGAUCCUUCGGGGCUAAAUGCAUUUGUGCUAAGUUAUAGCAUUUUAUAGACAACUUGUUGACUAUGAUUUGUCUUGUAGCUUACUCGCUUAUGUUAUUUUACCUACGCUUAGGAUGUUGAAGACUCUACAGAGAUA
rnacentral:rRNA from 1 species